rnacentral:rRNA from 1 species
CGGCGAGUGAAGCGGCAACAGCUCAAAUUUGAAAUCUGGCCCUUUUAGGGUCCGAGUUGUAAUUUGCAGAGGGCGCUUUGGCGUUGGCAGCGGUCCAAGUUCUUUGGAACAGGACGUCACAGAGGGUGAGAAUCCCGUACGUGGUCGCUAGCCUUCGCCGUGUAAAGCCCCUUCGACGAGUCGAGUUGUUUGGGAAUGCAGCUCUAAAUGGGAGGUAAAUUUCUUCUAAAGCUAAAUACUGGCCAGAGACCGAUAGCGCACAAGUAGAGUGAUCGAAAGAUGAAAAGCACUUUGGAAAGAGAGUCAAAUAGCACGUGAAAUUGUUGAAAGGGAAGCGCUUGCAGCCAGACUUGCCUGUAGUUGCUUAUCCGGACUUUUGUCCGGUGCACUCUUCUGCGGGCAGGCCAGCAUCAGUUUAGGCGGUUGGAUAAAGGUCUCUAUCACGUACCUCCUUUCGGGGAGGCCUUAUAGGGGAGACGACAUGCAGCCAGCCUGAACUGAGGUCCGCGCAUCUGCUAGGAUGCUGGCGUAAUGGCUGUAAGCGGCCCGUCUUGAAACACGGACCAAGGAGUCUAACAUCUAUG